AUGAGUCAUGUGGCAGUGGAAAAUGC
rnacentral:piRNA from 1 species